AAUCCGAGAAUUUCACCUCUAGCGGCGCAAUACGAAUGCCCCCGGCCGUCCCUCUUAAUCAUGGCCUCAGUUCCGAAAACCAACAAAAUAGAACCGCGGUCCUAUUCCAUUAUUCCUAGCUGCGGUAUCCAGGCGGCUCGGGCCUGCUUUGAACACUCUAAUUUUUUCAAAGUAAACGCUUCGGGCCCCGCGGGACACUCAGCUAAGAGCAUCGAGGGGGCGCCGAGAGGCAAGGGGCGGGGACGGGCGGUGGCUCGCCUCGCGGCGGACCGCCCGCCCGCUCCCAAGAUCCAACUACGAGCUUUUUAACUGCAGCAACUUUAAUAUACGCUAUUGGAGCUGGAAUUACCGCU
rnacentral:misc_RNA from 1 species